rnacentral:rRNA from 1 species
GACGAACGCUGGCGGCGUGCUUAACACAUGCAAGUCGAACGGAAAGGCCCUGCUUUUGUGGGGCGCUCGAGUGGCGAACGGGUGAGUAACACGUGAGUAACCUGCCCUUGACUUUGGGAUAACUUCAGGAAACUGGGGCUAAUACCGGAUAGGAGCUCCUGCUGCAUGGUGGGGGUUGGAAAGUUUCGGCGGUUGGGGAUGGACUCGCGGCUUAUCAGCUUGUUGGUGGGGUAGUGGCUUACCAAGGCUUUGACGGGUAGCCGGCCUGAGAGGGUGACCGGCCACAUUGGGACUGAGAUACGGCCCAGACUCCUACGGGAGGCAGCAGUGGGGAAUAUUGCACAAUGGGCGGAAGCCUGAUGCAGCAACGCCGCGUGCGGGAUGACGGCCUUCGGGUUGUAAACCGCUUUCGCCUGUGACGAAGCGUGAGUGACGGUAAUGGGUAAAGAAGCACCGGCUAACUACGUGCCAGCAGCCGCGGUGAUACGUAGGGUGCGAGCGUUGUCCGGAUUUAUUGGGCGUAAAGGGCUCGUAGGUGGUUGAUCGCGUCGGAAGUGUAAUCUUGGGGCUUAACCCUGAGCGUGCUUUCGAUACGGGUUGACUUGAGGAAGGUAGGGGAGAAUGGAAUUCCUGGUGGAGCGGUGGAAUGCGCAGAUAUCAGGAGGAACACCAGUGGCGAAGGCGGUUCUCUGGGCCUUUCCUGACGCUGAGGAGCGAAAGCGUGGGGAGCGAACAGGCUUAGAUACCCUGGUAGUCCACGCUGUAAACGGUGGGUACUAGGUGUGGGGUCCAUUCCACGGGUUCCGUGCCGUAGCUAACGCUUUAAGUACCCCGCCUGGGGAGUACGGCCGCAAGGCUAAAACUCAAAGGAAUUGACGGGGCCCCGCACAAGCGGCGGAGCAUGCGGAUUAAUUCGAUGCAACGCGUAGAACCUUACCUGGGUUUGACAUGGAUCGGGAGCGCUCAGAGAUGGGUGUGCCUCUUUUGGGGUCGGUUCACAGGUGGUGCAUGGCUGUCGUCAGCUCGUGUCGUGAGAUGUUGGGUUAAGUCCCGCAACGAGCGCAACCCUUGUUCACUGUUGCCAGCACGUUAUGGUGGGGACUCAGUGGAGACCGCCGGGGUCAACUCGGAGGAAGGUGGGGAUGACGUCAAGUCAUCAUGCCCCUUAUGUCCAGGGCUUCACGCAUGCUACAAUGGCUGGUACAGAGAGUGGCGAGCCUGUGAGGGUGAGCGAAUCUCGGAAAGCCGGUCUCAGUUCGGAUUGGGGUCUGCAACUCGACCUCAUGAAGUCGGAGUCGCUAGUAAUCGCAGAUCAGCAACGCUGCGGUGAAUACGUUCCCGGG